rnacentral:rRNA from 1 species
CCACGAAGUUGGAUUCGCUAGUAAUCGCGCAUCAGCCAUGGCGCGGUGAAUACGUUCCCGGACCUUGUACACACCGCCGUCAAGCCAUGGGAGCCGGGGGCGCCUGAAGUCAGUGACCUAACCGAGAGGGAGGAGCUGCCGAAGGCGGGGUUGGUAACUGGGGUGAAGUCGUAACAAGGUACC